GCGUCGGUGCUUCAGUGGUAGAAUACUCGCCUGCCACGCGGGUGACCCGGGUUCGAUUCCCGGCCGACACA
rnacentral:tRNA from 1 species